CUUCAGGGCUUCCCGGCUGUCGGUUUUAAGUAAGGACACCGAGGCACAGAGACUGCUGUCUGCCCGCUGAGCCCCGCGCGGGGAGGUCCGGGAGACCGCAGCUCCCGCCCGGGACUCCUCGCAUUAACCACAGAUGGACCGAGAGUCCUGGGCCCAGCAAGAUGACGGGCCGGGUCCCACGCAUGCCGCCCUCCACUGUACCUCAGGCAGAGGGCCAGAGCCUCCCGGGGACCCCCUCCAGACCUCAUCCAGACCACAGGCCCCAGAAAGGUGGCUAGAAAAGGCUUAGGCUACGGUCAGCCCCCUGUAUCUCCCCCUGCACAGGCCAGAGGCUGGGCGAGUACGUGCACAGAGGUGGCCCUCCCCAUAGCCUCCCCAUGCUCUGGGGCCUCGGACAGCUUCCCCCCGCCAGCACAGACCUCUCCCCAGACGUCCGGGAUCCUGCAAUGAGCAAAGCGGAUACACCCUUUUCUUUUCUAUGGAUACCCAUUCAUUUUAUAAUUUUCAAGUCUCAGUGUAUUAUUUUUUUAAUUUGCCAGAGAAGCGAUGAAAUUAUAU